CAAAUUAAAGCUUUAAUUAGAAGUUUUUCUUUUACAUUGAAAUGAUUAUUAUGUUUAAUAUAAUUUGA
rnacentral:tRNA from 1 species